GAUGAACGCUGGCGGCGUGCCUAACACAUGCAAGUCGAGCGAUUCUCUUCGGAGAAGAGCGGCGGACGGGUGAGUAACGCGUGGGUAACCUGCCCUGUACACACGGAUAACAUACCGAAAGGUAUGCUAAUACGAGAUAAUAUGCUUUUAUCGCAUGGUAGAAGUAUCAAAGCUUUUGUGGUACAGGAUGGACCCGCGUCUGAUUAGCUAGUUGGUAAGGUAACGGCUUACCAAGGCGACGAUCAGUAGCCGACCUGAGAGGGUGAUCGGCCACAUUGGAACUGAGACACGGUCCAGACUCCUACGGGAGGCAGCAGUGAGGAAUCUUCCACAAUGGGCGAAAGCCUGAUGGAGCAACGCCGCGUGAAGGAUGAAGGCCCUCGGGUCGUAAACUUCUUUUAUAAGUGAAGAAUAUGACGGUAACUUAUGAAUAAGCACCGGCUAACUACGUGCCAGCCGCCGCGGUAAAAC
rnacentral:rRNA from 1 species